rnacentral:lncRNA from 1 species
AUGGCUCAGGAAGAUGAACAAUCUCACAGAGCCCUAACUAACUGAAGCCAGGUGUUAUAAAGCACAAGUCAAGAGGGCUGGCUUCUUCCCUCAGCCUCGUCCGACCCCAGCCUGGGUUCAAUGAACAUUCGGUAAAGGAACACGGAAUGUCAAGCGCAUUAGAGACAACCUUGAGACACAUUCCUCUUGCGAUGGCUGACCACUAGGUGGGCCUCGGCGUCACGUCCAGGGUAAUUGGUUGCUGGGGUGUUUCUGGCGAGGAAGAUUCACGCUUCAGCUCGGUCCACAAGAUCCUGGCUCAUUCUUUCCUAGAUUCCAUUUUCUGCGUCCUCUCCAUGACUGGGUCUGAUGGUUGAUCCAAACGGGCAAUUGAAAUCAGAAGGUUACCUUUACCUUAAAAUGCUUUUCUGGAAAUAAAAGGACAUGAAAAGUAAC